rnacentral:rRNA from 1 species
UCCUACGGGAGGCAGCAGUAGGGAAUCUUCCGCAAUGGACGAAAGUCUGACGGAGCAACGCCGCGUGAGUGAUGAAGGCUUUCGGGUCGUAAAACUCUGUUGUUAGGGAAGAACAAGUGCUAGUUGAAUAAGCUGGCACCUUGACGGUACCUAACCAGAAAGCCACGGCUAACUACGUGCCAGCAGCCGCGGUAAUACGUAGGUGGCAAGCGUUAUCCGGAAUUAUUGGGCGUAAAGCGCGCGCAGGUGGUUUCUUAAGUCUGAUGUGAAAGCCCACGGCUCAACCGUGGAGGGUCAUUGGAAACUGGGAGACUUGAGUGCAGAAGAGGAAAGUGGAAUUCCAUGUGUAGCGGUGAAAUGCGUAGAGAUAUGGAGGAACACCAGUGGCGAAGGCGACUUUCUGGUCUGUAACUGACACUGAGGCGCGAAAGCGUGGGGAGCAAACAGGAUUAGAUACCCUGGUAGUCCACGCCGUAAACGAUGAGUGCUAAGUGUUAGAGGGUUUCCGCCCUUUAGUGCUGAAGUUAACGCAUUAAGCACUCCGCCUGGGGAGUACGGCCGCAAGG